rnacentral:rRNA from 1 species
CACGAACCGGACAAACGUUAUUCGGAAUUAUUGAGCUUAAAGGGUGCGUAGGCGGUGCGGUAAGUGAGGUGUGAAAGCCCUCGGCUCAACCGAGGAAUUGCGCUUCAUACUGCCGUGCUGGAGGGAGACAGAGGUAAGCGGAACUGAUGGUGGAGCGGUGAAAUGCGUUGAUAUCAUCAGGAACACCGGUGGCGAAAGCGGCUUACUGGGUCUCUUCUGACGCUGAGGCACGAAAGCUAGGGUAGCGAACGGG